GACGAACGCUGGCGGCGUGCCUAAUACAUGCAAGUAGAACGCUGAAGGAGGAGCUUGCUCUUCUGGAUGAGUUGCGAACGGGUGAGUAACGCGUAGGUAACCUGCCUGGUAGCGGGGGAUAACUAUUGGAAACGAUAGCUAAUACCGCAUAACAUUGACUAUUGCAUGAUAGUCAAUUGAAAGGUGCAAAUGCACCACUAUCAGAUGGACCUGCGUUGUAUUAGCUAGUUGGUGGGGUAACGGCUCACCAAGGCGACGAUACAUAGCCGACCUGAGAGGGUGAUCGGCCACACUGGGACUGAGACACGGCCCAGACUCCUACGGGAGGCAGCAGUAGGGAAUCUUCGGCAAUGGACGGAAGUCUGACCGAGCAACGCCGCGUGAGUGAAGAAGGUUUUCGGAUCGUAAAGCUCUGUUGUAAGAGAAGAACGAGUGUGAGAGUGGAAAGUUCACACUGGACG
rnacentral:rRNA from 1 species